CGGCGGCGGGGCACCGCGUCGUCGCGGUCGCGAGCCGCGACGGCGCGCGGGCGGAGCGGUUCGCCGGGCGGUUCGGCGCCGCGGGCGUCGCC
rnacentral:tRNA from 1 species